GCUAGAGGCAGGACCAUCAUCUCCCUCUGUCCUUCAAUCUGUUGGAAAAACAGGGUCAGCCUGUCAGCUCACCUAAAUUCUCAAAGCUCUGCUGAAACCCCAGCACACAAGGGGGAAAUCGGGCACCCAGGAAUCUGGGGGAUCCCUGUUCUCCCACUAAACCAUCACACAAUGCAAUCAAAACUCAGCUGAACACAGGAAUAAACUUCUCCAGGCAAGUCAUAUGCACAAAUAUAUAUAUAGUAGAUAUCUUGUGCAUAUAUUUGUGAAAAUAACAUACAAAAAUGAAUUGUAUUAGAGAAAAUUGCUAAAAUGUGUACAUUAGACAAAAGCGCACCAGCCCAUCUGAUUGGAUGGUACUUCCAAAACAACAACAAGAGAAUAGUUAAUAUAAGAAAUCAUCAUUAAGAAUUUGGAUUUGAAAGCACUCCCGUUAAUAUUGUCAAAUUAUUCUUUGGGAGUGAAAUUGGCAUUGUUCAAGGUUGCUGCUGCUCACAUGGGAAGUUGCAUAGUAAGCAAACGAGGAAGCUAUUGCAGAGCUGGGUACCAAGAGUGACCACAGGCAACUCGCCAUUUACAAGGGGUUUAUGUUCUGAGGGGCCAUGCAUUUAAGUGAAAUGACUUAUAUUUGAAACUACAUUGGAAACCCUUGCAAAUGCCCUGCCCCUUUUUGUAAAGUUUUGUGAUGUGACUUUUUAGCUCACUUCUGAGUUUGGCAUGAUGUGCACGUGUGGUUACACACAUAUUGGACACACCUAAAAUGGUCGCUGCCUGUAUUGAAAAAUUCUCUAUCAUCUCUAGUCUUUAAUGCCACAUGCACAAGAUUACACUGUGUAAAUUGAUCUGGAUUAAUUAAACCCACUAGUUCCAUAAUCAAAAUUGCUUCCCACACCACCCCCUUAUUGAUUAAUGUAUUAUUUAAAUAUAGUAAUGGACAGAUAAUAAUUUACAAAUAAGGAUCAAUACAAUGUCACUCAUUGACCAGAAACCUUUCUCAUAAUCACAUGUCAGAUUGUCUUUUGUGAAUGAAAUAAAACUGUUUCAAAUAGUUUUUAAUAACCAAAAAUGUAGCGCUUGGGGUACAUUUAAACAAGGUUUAGAUCGACCCUCCAGGCGUUGCCAGAUUACAGCUCCCACAAUCCCUUUGGCUGUGCUGGCUGGGCUUGAUGGGAAAUGGAGUCCAACAACUUUCAGAUUUCCCAUGUCUGCUUCAUUUAACAUGGUUUCCCAACAUUUUGCAAAAACUAGUGUUGCCUCAUUCAUUGGAUUAAAAGUGACUUCACGGUGAUAUUUUGGUAUACCAUCUUUGAUAUAGUAUUCCUCCUUUAUCCAUAAAAUCCACCAAGGAUGAGAAAGCCACUGUCAAUUACAGCAACAGAAUGGUUAAGGCAUACAAAGGAGUAACGUAUCAAUAACAGAUCUUGAGUAUAUAUCUUAACAGGCAAGUGUGCUCCUAAACAAGAUUGAGGUUACCAUGAAUAUGAGCCCCAGAGGAGGUGUGUUCAGGCAUUUGCCUGAGUGCACAAAUGCUCAAACAGCGUCCAGGGCAGGGAAGUACACGAAAGCUUGCCUCCAGUCUACUGGUGUGUGCCACCCCAUCUGCUCAGUCCCCGACCCUUCUCCAAGUUGAGAGGGGAAGAUCUCAUGAGAGCUUUUACUCACAUUUGCUUACACAUGAGUAGAACCCUGAUAAAGCAGGUUCCCCAAUUGCAUGGAGGGUUCUACAGAUGUUGCUGUACUACAACUCCCAGCUGCCCCAGCCAGCAUGGCCAAUUGUCAGGGAUGUUGCAGUCCAGCAACAUCUAGAGGGCCAUAGGUUCCUCAUCCUGAACUAAAGUAACUGAGAAAUAACUAAGUAUGUCUCUAAACUGAACUGAGGUCUUCAUCAUUCAUCAUUCUGAUUUUAAUGUUCAUCAUUUAUUGUUGAGCUUUUGACCUCUCCCACAGAGCUAAGGGAUGAGGGAUCAUAGCAUUGCUUCCAAAACAGGGGAUGGGAAAAUGCUGGAUUCCAGCUACCAUCAUAGCUUACCAUUCCAUGCUGGCUGGGGCUGAUGGAAGUUGGACUCCAACAAUAUUUAGAGGGCAAUCACUUCCCUACACCUGUUGCAAAAGGUCCCAGGUUCAGUCUUCUAGGCAUGUCUAUUUAAAAGAUCGCAGAUGAUAGAGGGGCAAGAGAGAUUUCUUGCCUGAGCCUUUGGUGCAUUGCUGCAAGCCAGAGCAGUGUUGGGUUAGAGUCCCACAAGUCUUUUUACAUUUUGCAUUUGGUGUUUGCAUGCAGGGCUCAGAGAAUAUCAGGAGACUUUGACAGCCAUCUAAAUCCAACAAUUAGAGCUCUAAACUGGCUGGAUGCAACUUGUCAUUCCUCUUUCAUGAGUGCAACAAUGCUAGUUCCAUGGUCAGUAAACAUUGCCAUUGUAUUUAGCACUAUGCCACUAAUCCCGGCAGGCUUGCUUGGUAAACAAUCUAUCCUUUCAAAAGCCAAGCUGUCAGAGUGGAAAGGGGUUUAUAAACUGCGG